GGUGGCGGUAACGCGCGCGGAGAGCGCGCAAUAAAACCGGAAGAAGCGGAGGAAGUUGCAGGCGGAGGCUGAGCGUGGUGGAAGACGAGCGGCGUGCGGGAGGACCUCAGGAGAGUGUUAGCUUUUGAGAUACGAACAGUUAAAUUUUACCCACAAGGGCUUGAAUGUGUACGUUUUCUCUAUAUUAAAUAAACCCCGUCGGCAUGGGUAGCUAGCUAGCGCUCCUGUUUCGAGCAUGACAUCCGAAACGAGGUUUCGCUGAAACGCGAGCUGAAAUCGUAUAUCUGAAGCUGGGGAGGCUUGUGCGUUAAUUCGGUCAACCGGAGAGAAGAGGUUCCAGUGACGUGAGCUUUGUGGACCUGAUAUUGCACGGUCGGCUUGCUGGCGUGAACGCAGAGCUCGUGUCUCGACGCAUCUACCAUAAGAACUUGACUGGUUUGUCUUUGUUUUUAUUUUAAGCUGUUCAUUUCCCUAAUAAAU